rnacentral:lncRNA from 1 species
CAUCAGGCUUGAGCUCACCAAUCCCAGCCCUAUCUCAAGUAGAGUGAGAUUAGGGUUGAACAUCAUCCCAACUCAAAUCGAGCUAACCCAGCUUGAAUAGAGUGUAACCUGAGAAUUCAUAAAUAAAUGAACUCAUAUUUAUGUUUCAUUUGUUACUUUAUGUUUAUAUAGUUACAUCUUCAGUUUUGUAAAAUUAUGUAUAAUUAGUGUACCAUUGAAUAUUGAUGAAGGUUAGAGAUUUCAAUCCAACAAAUAUUAAUC